rnacentral:rRNA from 1 species
AAGUUAUUGUAACUUGCUUAUACGAUAUUACUUUUUUUUGAUUAUAAAAAUAAUUUAUUGUUAAAAUAAAAAUAAAGUAAAAUAUCUUGAAAUAUAAUAAAAUAUUGUAAGCUAUAGUAAAUAAAUACUGUAAAGGAAAGUUUAAAUAUUGAUUAAAUUAGAUAAAUUUAUAGUAAUAUUAAAUUUAUGUACCUUGUGUAUCAGGAAAAACCAAAAUUUUUUUAUAAUUUAAAAAUUCUCGAAAAAAAAAGAGCUAAAUAUAAAAUAAAGUUAUCGUAUUAAAGAUAUUAACAAUUUAUAUUUAGUGGCGAAACACUAGUCGAUUUUUUAUAUCUAGUUGUAAAUGAAUUGAAUUAAAUUCACUGUUUAAUUAUAUCUUGAAUUAAAUUGUAAGAAAAGGAGGGAAAAGCUUCUUUUUCUAAUAUAAGUAAACUGUAAUUAUUUUAUAAUUUUUAAUAUAAAACUAGGCUUACAAGCAGCUAUGUUAAUAAAGCGUUUUAGCUAAUUUAAAUAAAAAUAUAAUUUUUAUUAUAUAUUCAGUUUAAAAGUAAUUUACUUAAAAAAAAAAUUUUUUUUUUUUGUAAAAAUGGUUCUAUUAGUAGAUUUUAAUGUGUAUUUUCUUUAAUUUAAUAAUUUUGAAAUUUUAAAUCGUUAUCAUAUAAAAUUAAGGAACUCGGCAAAUUUAUUCUUUUGCCUGUUUAUCAAAAACAUCUCUUUAUGAUUAUAGUUAUAUAAAGUAUAGCCUGCUCACUGACUUAUAUAGUUAAAGAGCCGCGGUAUUCUGACCGUGCGAAGGUAGCAUAAUAAUUAGCCUUUUAAUUGAAGGCUUGUAUGAAUGGUUGUACAAAAAGAAAGCUGUCUCAGUUUUAAAAAUUAAACUUAACUUUUAAGUGAAAAGGCUUAAAUAAAUUAGAGGGACGAUAAGACCCUAUAAAGCUUUACUGUUUAAAUUUUUUGAUAUUAGUAUUAAAUGAUCCUCUAAUAAAGAUUAAAAAUUUAAGUUACUUUAGGGAUAACAGCGUAAUCUACCUUGAGAGUCCAAAUCGACAGGAAGGGUUGCGACCUCGAUGUUGAAUUAAAAUUCCUUUUUAAUGUAGUCGUUAAAAUAAGGAGGUCUGUUCGACCUUUAAAAUUUUACAUGAUUUGAGUUCAGACCGGCGUGAGCCAGGUCGGUUUCUAUCUUCUAUUAUAUAUUAAACUGUCUUAGUACGAAAGGAUUAGACAGUUAGAAUAAUUUUAUUAUUAUGAAUCUUGUUAAUAUAGUUUACAUCA